rnacentral:rRNA from 1 species
GACGAACGCUGGCGGCGUGCUUAACACAUGCAAGUCGAACGGACAGGCCCUGCUUUUGUGGGGUGCUCGAGUGGCGAACGGGUGAGUAACACGUGAGUAACCUGCCCUUGACUUUGGGAUAACUUCAGGAAACUGGGGCUAAUACCGGAUAGGAGCUCCUGCUGCAUGGUGGGGGUUGGAAAGUUUCGGCGGUUGGGGAUGGACUCGCGGCUUAUCAGCUUGUUGGUGGGGUAGUGGCUUACCAAGGCUUUGACGGGUAGCCGGCCUGAGAGGGUGACCGGCCACAUUGGGACUGAGAUACGGCCCAGACUCCUACGGGAGGCAGCAGUGGGGAAGAUUGCACAAUGGGCGGAAGCCUGAUGCAGCAACGCCGCGUGCGGGAUGACGGCCUUCGGGUUGUAAACCGCUUUCGCCUGUGACGAAGCGUGAGUGACGGUAAUGGGUAAAGAAGCACCGGCUAACUACGUG